ACGAUGCGGUUUGUUAUACACCAAAUGGACAGAUCCGCGGUAAGUUUGCGCUAUUUCUUCGUUCCUUCUCGCGCCAGGGAUCCCUUCCUUGAUGAAAUUAGGUGCACUCUCUCGCCCGCUGUGUAUUUCGUACCUCAUCAAGCCUUUGUGCUUGUGUAUUUGUUUAUGUUAUUGAUGUGUUUGUAUCGAUUUAUUUUAUAUUCACAAUCGUGCUCUGUUAUUGGGAUUUGGUGAUUGUUUUUCUUGACAUGUUCUUUUCAUUGUUUCAAUCUUUUGGUUAGCUGAAACUCUUUUGAACGAAUCAGUUUAACUUUGUGGGUUGUCUAGGUUCUCCUUUUCCUCUGAUAUCAUUUUUAAAUCUGUCUAGGGGUUCUGAUCAGUAGGAGUAAUCUAAAUUUAGUGGCAAAUUUUGGUUUAAGGAUCGGUAGUAUUUUGAGUCUAGUUUAAUCCUUUUUAAGCUACAGGUAAUUAUGGGUCAGAGAUUAAGAGCUGUGCUUCAAUGAAAUCUUCAGAUGUAUAGUGUCAAACUGAUGAUCUUAGUUUCUGCUUGAUGGUUUGUUACUAAAAGGCUAUUUUUAGUUUCCAAAUGGUAUUCUUGAGAAUGCUUAUGCUUGUAACAAGUGUUCCGUCAAGGUAACCUAACAACAUGGAUUUGACAAGCUUAUUCGUUUCAGGGAUGGAUUCAUUUUUGUGCUGCUACUGAUAAAAAUACACUUCACCUCCUAUGUCCUGUGUUAUGCUUAGAGUUUGCAGUUCUGUGGUUUAGUAGAUAUUUAUAUAUGGUGUUCAAAACUGAACAUCCAAGAUUUUGAGCUUUCUAUGCUAGGAUAACUGGUUUUAAUACUCUUCAGUCUUCAGUGAUUAGUGAGCGAUGCCGUGGAGGCAAUACAAAAAUUGUUUAAAUAUUCAUGUAGGAUGCUCAAUUACAUGAGGCCAUAUGCAUUUGAGUCGGGUGGAAUUAUUGAAUUAUACAUCAGAAGUUAGGCAUAAAAGGGAAGAACAAAAUAGGGAGAUGGGCAAGUUGAGUGCGUAAUAUAGAAAUCAGAGCAAGUUGAUUUCUAAAUCAUUGUUUUUUGAAACGAUUAAUAGAGUUUGAGACACCCUUUACUUCAGUCAUUUUUCCAAUGUUUAGAAGUCUUAUUUGGAAGUUCAACUGUAAUCAAAUCAUUUGAAAAAAAAAAGUGACUGGUACCAAUAAGGAAGGAGAUGUGAAAGCAAGAGCCUGGGAAACGGAUGAGGUCCUGUUCCAUGGAGUCAACGAGUCCUUUUGUUACUGAACAGGUGUGGAGUCUUUGUAUCCAUAUUAGAUGACAAACUUUAGUUAUUAAGUUGAAAAUGUGCUCUGCAAGAUGGUUUUUUAACAAUUUACACUUGUAUUCUUCACUUUUAGGAGAGAGAGAGAGAAGAGAAAAGAGGAGGGGGAGGUAUGGAGUAUGUCCUAAGAUUAUGCUUCCACGAAGGUGAUUUGAUGUUUUUUUUGCUCUUGCUGAAUAUUUUAUGCUUAUUCAAAUUGAUAUCAGUUGUCCAUUUUAUAUUCUUCACCACUCUAUGUGGAUGUUGUCAACUUAAUACAAGGAGUCAAGGACCCGCCUUCAUUUCAACUCGAGAAUCACAAAUAUGUCUAUAACUCAAUAUAAAUGCCUUUGAAGGUGGAACAGUAUGAAAAUAGGUGCACUUCUUACAAGGGAAAACUUACAUCACACUUCAUAACAUGAACCAACGUGACUAUUUGUUAGCCUCAAAUUAUUGGCCAGCUCAUUACUUUGAACUGCUUUUAGAGUACCUUGCUAUGAUGCAUAAAGUUAUUUCUUAUCAAAUGUUUUUACGGGUGGAUACAUUAAACCGCAUCAAAGGUGUAAGGUUACAAAGAUGCACAGGGGCAUUGGCAGAGAAGUUAGGGCAGGUGGGAGCAGAAAAAGGGAUGAGUUGGUGUUGACUCCAUGUUGUAAAAAAGUGGGCGGAGGGAGGGUACGGCAAGGGGGCACGUGCCGUACCGGCGACCGAAAAAUGCUUUGAAGGGGGAUGAAGGUGCCGCAGCGGCGCAGCCGGUGGUGCCGCAGCAGUGCGCAGCGGUGCCCUACCAAAGGGAACUCCUCCCUCCGCCCCUGUGUAUAUCUCUGUAUCAGACUUGUCAAUUUUAUAAAUAAAAAAUACGGAAAUGUGAA